rnacentral:misc_RNA from 1 species
GCCUGUUCGAGCGUCAUUUCAACCCUCAAGCACUGCUUGGUAUUGGAUGUCACUACUUGUGUGCAUCUUAAAAGCAUUGGCGGUAGCAUUUAGCUUCUAGCGUAGUAAAUUUCUCGCUCUGGAGUCUGGGUGUCUGCCUGCCAGCACCCCUUAUUUCAAAGGUUGACCUCGGAUCAGGUAGGGAUACCCGCUGAACUUAA